AAACAAAAAUAUCACCUACAAUCACUCUUCUUCUAACAAGGGAUGACAUUAACCAGCAACUAUAAGUCACGAUUCGGAACAACCGAUAGUAUCAAGUACCGAAAACCACUAUUUAGCUUACACCUUUCGCGUCGCGUCACCGUUAUCAAAAACGUUAUCAGAGCAGCGAGGUAAGGUUGAUAAAAUUGUAGACUGACUCUUUCCCAUCACCUUGCUUGCUUUAGGGGCGAUGUUUUCACUCAACGCAUCAACAAUAACAACAUCACCGCUGAGUGACAGCUAACCGCACUCUACACGCUCGAUGCAUCUCGUGUGGGGCCGUUGAAUCACUAACCGGCUAGUGAUCGCUCGGUUGGUGUCCCACACCUUCACGCGUACGGAUUGAAUUGAAUGGAACCGCAAACGGUACGAGUGAUUCCAGCAUGAGCAAAUCCCACCGAAACAGCUGAUUCACGGUUAAAGUUUUGGAAUACUUUCAAUUUCACGGGACAACGAUACACUCCGCGUGGUUGACGAGUUUGGAAGUAUUAUAGUAACUGGUACGCUUUGAUUGACACUAUUCCACGCCCAUGGCGUAACGAACCGCAGACCGUGUGCCAAAACUGUCCACAGCAGUAAUGCAAAUCGGCCUCGUCUGUUAGUGUAGAAACUGCUGGCUCUGUCAAAUGAGUAUGUCUACGAUAGAUGGAAUUACUACACUACAACCGGCACCGCCUUCAUUCAACUACUCAGUUUAAAACAAAUAUCGACGAAAAAGCUCGCCAGACACUUACAGAGAACACAGGAGAAGUGUAAAAGCAGAAAGAGAAAAAGUCAACAAAUAUGGUUAAUAAAAAAAGCCGUCUUUACCAUGAA